GGGGAAUAUUGCACAAUGGGGGAAACCCUGAUGCAGCAACGCCGCGUGAGUGAUGACGGCCUUCGGGUUGUAAAACUCUGUCUUUGGGGACGAUAAUGACGGUACCCAAGGAGGAAGCCACGGCUAACUACGUGCCAGCAGCCGCGGUAAUACGUAGGUGGCAAGCGUUGUCCGGAUUUACUGGGCGUAAAGGGAGCGUAGGUGGAUAUUUAAGUGGGAUGUGAAAUACUCGGGCUUAACCUGGGUGCUGCAUUCCAAACUGGAUAUCUAGAGUGCAGGAGAGGAAAGCGGAAUUCCUAGUGUGGCGGUGAAAUGCGUAGAGAUUAGGAGGAACACCAGUGGCGAAAGCGGCUUUCUGGACGACAACUGACGCUGAGGCGCGAAAGCCAGGGGAGCAAACA
rnacentral:rRNA from 1 species